rnacentral:rRNA from 1 species
CAUAUCAACUUUCGAUGCCAUUGACUGCGCCUAACAUGGUGACCAUGGGUAACGGGGAAUCAGGGUUCAAUUCCG